UUCUCUUUAGCAUAUCAGAACCCACUAGAGAAUGUUGCCAGGUGUUCUCUUUAGCAUAUCAGAACCACUAGAGAAUGUUGCCAGGUGUUCUCUUUAGCAUAUCAGAACCCACUAGAGAAUGUUGCCAGGUGUUCUCUUUAGCAUAUCAGAACCCACUAGAGAAUGUUGCCAGGUGUUCUCUUUAGCAUAUCAGAACCACUAGAGAAUGUUGCCAGGUGUUCUCUUUAGCAUAUCAGAACCACUAGAGAAUGUUGCCAGGUGUUUCUCUUUAGCAUAUCAGAACCACUAGAGAAUGUUGCCAGGUGUUUCUCUUUAGCAUAUCAGAACCACUAGAGAAUGUUGCCAGGUGUUUCUCUUUAGCAUAUCAGAACCACUAGAGAAUGUUGCCAGGUGUUCUCUUUAGCAUAUCAGAACCACUAGAGAAUGUUGCCAGGUGUUCUCUUUAGCAUAUCAGAACCACUAGAGAAUGUUGCCAGGUGUUCUCUUUAGCAUAUCAGAACCACUAGAGAAUGUUGCCAGGUCUUCUCUUUAGCAUAUCAGAACCCACCUUCCGGUUACUAGUCCAACGCUCUAACCACUAGGCUACCCUGCCGCCAGGGAGAGUGUGAUGUCAUAUCGGUGACAUAUCGGUGACUGAAGAGUCAUUCUCCCAACACGUUUAGAAAAAGAGGGAAUAUGAGCAACUGUAAGCACACAGAUGAUGUUGGCAGGUGUUCCAUAGGGAUUAUCCCUUUACAAUACUAGUUGUUUGCUCUGAGUCUCGCCGCUCUCGAGUAGCACCUACUGAAGAAUAGAGUUUAAAUAUGUGGCUUGGCAGGAAGUGUUAACCCCUCCAAUUCCCAGACCACAGGAUACACACAAGGACUAAUAUGUCCAUACUAACCAUUUUGGUGUUAGUCAGCAAUCUGGUGUUAAACUAUGUUGACAUGAAAAAGUGCUGGAAAAGCAUGCAGACAUUUCGGAAUAGCAGAGACUAAAGAGACAAGUGGAGACAGGAACACCAAAUCAGUCCAUUUAUCUGGGCAGGUUUCUAACCUGAUCUUCCUGCCACUGCCUUCCGUAUCAUCACUGGUAUGCUAUGAUGCUUGCAUAUACAGGAUCUAUUAAACUGUCUACUCAUAUGUCGUACCUGCAGAACCGUUGUCUGUGUUGUCUGUUGUGUUGUUCUCCACUACCUACAGAACCGUUGUCUGUGUUGUCUGUUGUGUUGUUCUCCACUACCUAC
ensembl:lncRNA